rnacentral:lncRNA from 1 species
UGAUGGUGAUGCUGAGCAGCUGGCUUGGUACAAAUAGAGGUUUUACAGGCUACAACUCAAGCAGCUGGCUCCACGGAACUAUUAGUUAGGCUAAGGCAAUUCCCUAGUAAAAAGCAGAUAGAUCCACGCAUUAGAAAGACAAUACAUGCCGCUCAUACCCUAGCGAUAGCACUGAUAACACUUUGUGAUUUCUGAGAUAUGCUAAACAUACCAUUUAACUGCCAUGACAUCCUCUGUGAGAAAAGAAUCAACUUCAACAAAACACUCUAACAUCAACGUAAUUGUAAUGCAAAAUCCUUCCUCUUUGAAAACAAAAUUCUUAUUUUAAGGUUUUCCUCCAUAAGUCUGUGGUACUUGUUGAUCUUCAAAAGCCACAGGGAUGUGAUUCUGGGUCCCCACUCAAGCAGCAGGGUUAGACCAGGUGACUUCCAGGAGUCCCUUUCAACCUCAACCAUUCUGUAUUUCUGUGGUACAGAGCUGAUGCUGAUAAGCAGUGUUUUGAGUAAAAGAGAUGUUUUCUUCUAGGUUACUAGGAACAGGGGACUGAGGACUGACAAGGAGCUUAAAGACAUUCUUUGUUUCCUAUGGAUUUGCAAUAGGAAGCGGUUUUAUUUCUAUAGUGGCAGGGUGCACUGCUUAUUACCGCCUGCAUUCUGGGUCUGGUUUUUGCUCGGACUAACUACACGCUGCUUGCAGGUGCAAAAGUCCAGCUGAGAGGUCACAGGGAGAAAACAUCUUUUAUUUAAACAGGUGCAAACCCUCUGUGUAAACUGCAUUGCCUUCUGCAGCUUAGUGCACAGCUUGCCUCUGAAUAAAGCUAGACCUGGGAGGGCUUCUCUAUGGACU